rnacentral:tRNA from 1 species
AAUGAAUUGGCAGAUUUAUAUGUAAUAAUUUUAGGUUUUAUUUAAGUGGUUCUAAUCACAUUCAUUA